UACGGGGGGAGCAAGCGUUGUUCGGAUUUACUGGGCGUAAAGGGCGCGUAGGCGGCGUGACAAGUCACUUGUGAAAUCUCCGGGCUUAACUCGGAACGGUCAAGUGAUACUGUCGUGCUAGAGUACAGAAGGGGCAACUGGAAUUCUCGGUGUAGCGGUGAAAUGCAUAGAUACAAUCAAGAACUCCGAUUGCGUAGGCAGCUAACUAGGCUGUAACUGACGCUGAGGCACGAAAGCGUGGGGAGCGAACAGG
rnacentral:rRNA from 1 species